ACUUAUAUAGUUUAAGAAAAACAUUUCAUUUUCAAUGAAAAAUUAGAUAUUCUUGUAAGUU
rnacentral:tRNA from 1 species